rnacentral:rRNA from 1 species
UACGUAGGGGGCAAGCGUUGUCCGGAUUUAUUGGGCGUAAAGCGCGUGUAGGCGGCCAAGCAGGUCCGCUGUGAAAACUCGAGGCUCAACCUCGAGACGUCGGUGGAAACCGUUUGGCUAGAGUCCGGAAGAGGAGAGUGGAAUUCCCGGUGUGGCGGUGAAAUGCGCAGAUAUCGGGAAGAACACCCGUGGCGAAGGCGGCUCUCUGGGACGGUACUGACGCUGAGACGCGAAAGCGUGGGGAGCGAACAGG